UGAGGACGAAAGGCUCCUUCAAAAGGCGGGCGAGGGGCCGGGGGCGGUGGCUCACACCUGUCAUCCCAGCACUUGCGGAGGCCGAGGUGACUGGAACUGAUUUGACAUAACCAUCGUAUGCAUGGAGAAGCUGAGAACAGUAAUCUGCAGAAGCAAAAGUAUGAAACAGCCGGGCAAAGAUGCACAGAGGGGUCAAAGCAUCGUAGAACCACAGAUGUGAAAGAACUGCGGAGAGGACGUUCUCCAGGAGGGACAUCAUUAACUCAACCCGGGCGAGAGACUAGGCUUUGACCAGGCUUUCCAACCCACGCAGCUUCAGCUUCCAUCAAGCCCAUCCUAACCACAACGAACACAAGGCAAGGCAAACAAGCAAAACAUAAUAAAGAUCAGAGAGAACACAGAAAGACUGUGGAUUCUGCUGGCUCUUUUGUUUCUUUAUAAGAAAAGGUGCCCAUGAGGGGAGCGGAACAGGUGUAUGCUCUCACUUAGUAUAAAUGGACUAGAACAUGGCCUCUCAAAGGGGCACAAGUCCCUCAAGGGGUACACAGCCUGCCCAGGAUGUGCAAAGCCAUGAAAUCAGCAUGGCACAUCUUCCUGGAGUGCCAGGAUGAUUAAUCAGUUUCCAAGGGAGAAUUAAUUAAAUAGUGAGCAAUGUUAAAAUAACUUUUAUACUAACUCAAAUACACAUACAGUAUGGAGUAGAAUGCAGUAAUGGGCAUAUGCCUUUUUGUGUGUGUUUGCAUUAU
rnacentral:lncRNA from 1 species